rnacentral:rRNA from 1 species
AUGAACGCUGGCGGCGUGCCUAAUACAUGCAAGUCGAGCGAACGGACGAGAAGCUUGCUUCUCUGAUGUUAGCGGCGGACGGGUGAGUAACACGUGGAUAACCUACCUAUAAGACUGGGAUAACUUCGGGAAACCGGAGCUAAUACCGGAUGAUAUUUUGAACCGCAUGGUUCAAAAGUGAAAGACGGUCUUGCUGUCACUUAUAGAUGGAUCCGCGCUGCAUUAGCUAGUUGGUAAGGUAGCGGCUUACCAAGGCAACGAUGCAUAGCCGACCUGAGAGGGUGAUCGGCCACACUGGAACUGAGACACGGUCCAGACUCCUACGGGAGGCAGCAGUAGGGAAUCUUCCGCAAUGGGCGAAAGCCUGACGGAGCAACGCCGCGUGAGUGAUGAAGGUCUUCGGACCGUAAAACUCUGUUAUUAGGGAAGAACAUAUGUGUAAGUAACUGUGCACAUCUUGACGGUACCUAAUCAGAAAGCCACGGCUAACUACGUG